rnacentral:rRNA from 1 species
UGAGCAACCUGCCCUCAGCUUUGGGAUAACCCUCGGAAACGGGGGCUAAUACCGGAUAUUCUCUGCUUCGCGCAUGUGGGGUGGUGGAAAGUUUUUCGGCUGGGGAUGGGCUCGCGGCCUAUUAGCUUGUUGGUGAGGUAACGGCUCACCAAGGCUUCGACGGGUAGCCGGCCUGAGAGGGCGACCGGCCACACUGGGACUGAGAUACGGCCCAGACUCCUACGGGAGGCA